AAGUCGUAACAAGGUUUCCGUAGGUGAACCUGCGGAAGGAUCAUUAUUGAAUAAACUUGAACAGGCUGUUUGCUGGUCCCCCUCCUUGGGGUGCAUGUGCACGCUUGUCAUCUUUAUCAUUUCUCCAAAACUGUGCACCUCUUGUAGACCUGGAGCUGGAUUUCAUUCGAAUUGGGAACUGCUGUGCUUCAUGAGCCAGCUUUACCUUGCAUAUUUCCAUGGUCUAUGUUCACACAAAACCUGUUUAGAAUGGUUGGCCUAAAUAUUAUAAAAAGUAAUACAACUUUCAGCAACGGAUCUCUUGGCUCUCGCAUCGAUGAAGAACGCAGCGAAAUGCGAUAAGUAAUGUGAAUUGCAGAAUUCAGUGAAUCAUCGAAUCUUUGAACGCAUCUUGCGCUCCUUGGUAUUCCGAGGAGCAUGCCUGUUUGAGUGUCAUUUUAACUUCUCAACCAUGUCGAAUUGUUUUUCGAGGUGGCUUGGACAUGGGGGUUUUGCAGGCUUUCAAUGUGAAGUCGGCUCUCCUGAAAUGCAUUAGUGGUAUCUGAAGCAGAACUGCUACUAUUAGGUGUGAUAAUUAUCUAUGCCUUUUGGUAUACUGCAUGAACAGAUUGCACUGCUUCCAACUGUACACUCUUUGGUGUUUGACAAAUUUGACCUCAAAUCAGGUAGGACUACCCGCUGAACUUAAGCAUAUCAAUAAGCGGAGGAAAGAAACUAACAAGGAUUCCCCUAGUAACUGCGAGUGAAGCGGGAAAAGCUCAAAUUUGAAAUCUGAUGGUCCUUGACCGUCCGAGUUGUAAUCUAGAGAAGUGUUACCUGUGCUGGACCGUGUACAAGUCUCCUGGAAUGGAGCAUCACAGAGGGUGAGAAUCCCGUCUUUGACACGGACUGCCUGUACAUUAUGGUGCGCUCUCGAAGAGUCGAGUUGUUUGGGAAUGCAGCUCAAAAUGGGUGGUAAAUGCCAUCUAAAGCUAAAUAUUGGCGAGAGACCGAUAGCGAACAAGUACCGUGAGGGAAAGAUGAAAAGAACUUUGGAAAGAGAGUUAAACAGUACGUGAAAUUGCUGAAAGGGAAACGCUUGAAGUCAGUCACGUUGGCUAGAAAUCAGCCUUGCUUCUGCUUGGUGUACUUUCUGGUUGACGGGUCAGCAUCAAUUUUGACCAUUGGAUAAAGUCGUUGGGAAUGUGGCAUCUUCGGAUGUGUUAUAGCCCUAUGUCGCAUACAGUGGUUGGGAUUGAGGAACUCAGCACGCCCGCAAGGGACGGGUUUCGACCACGUUCGUGCUCAGGAUGCUGGCAUAAUGGCUUUAAUCGACC
rnacentral:rRNA from 1 species